ACGCUCGACACCUACGAGAGGCAGCAGUCGGGAAUAUUGCGCAAUGGAGGAAACUCUGACGCAGUGACGCCGCGUGCAGGAAGAAGGUUUUCGGAUUGUAAACUGCUUUAGACAGGGAAGAAAGAAAUGACAGUACCUGUAGAAUAAGCUCCGGCUAACUACGUGCCAGCAGCCGACGGUAAUCUGAGGCGGGCGUGGCAAGGC
rnacentral:rRNA from 1 species